AGCAGCCGCCGCGGGAAUACGUAGGUGGCAAGCGUUGUCCGGAAUUAUUGGGCGUAAAGGGCUCGCAGGCGGUUUCUUAAGUCUGAUGUGAAAGCCCCCGGCUCAACCGGGGAGGGUCAUUGGAAACUGGGAAACUUGAGUGCAGAAGAGGAGAGUGGAAUUCCACGUGUAGCGGUGAAAUGCGUAGAGAUGUGGAGGAACACCAGUGGCGAAAGCGGCUCUCUGGCUUGUAACUGACGCUGAGGCUCGAAAGCGUGGGGAGCAAACAGGAUUAGAUACCCGCGUAGUCCCUGUCUCUUAUAC
rnacentral:rRNA from 1 species